UACAGAGGUCUCAAGCGUUGUUCGGAUUCAUUGGGCGUAAAGGGUGCGUAGGCGGCGCGGUAAGUCGGGUGUGAAAUCUCGGGGCUUAACUCCGAAACUGCAUUCGAUACUGCCGUGCUUGAGGACUGGAGAGGAGACUGGAAUUUACGGUGUAGCGGUGAAAUGCGUAGAUAUCGUAAGGAAGACCAGUGGCGAAGGCGGAUCUCUGGACAGCUACUGACACUGAGGCACGAAGGCCAGGGGAGCAAACGGG
rnacentral:rRNA from 1 species